CUAGGUUUCUUCAUCUGCCUGCAAGCCUCUGCUUUCCUCUCUCUUCUCCCUUCUCUCCUCUGCCCACUUCCCUCUGUAAUUUGCAUGUGACUGUUUAAAUGAAGUAGUUCAGUUGAAGCAAAGGAAGAAACAUCCAGAAGGUGGACAUGAAUAUGUGCCUCUGGAGAAGGCUGCGGGUCUCCUUGUGUGCUUUCCCUUUAAAGUAACAAACACUACUGAGAGGGGCUAUCAUGAUGCUCGCAGUAAUGCUCAAAGAUACAUGUGAGAGCUACUGACUUCACUGCAUGGGAUGCAGGAGCAAUGGAGAUUAGCCAACCCCUCCUCUCUCAGGAUCUGCAGGCAGAAUCCCUGAAUCGCUUCAGCGAAUGGGCACACACUCAGAGCAUACUGUCCUGCGAUGCCAAGCAGGUCAUCCGUAAGACGCUACUCUGUCUGGAAGCACAAAGAGAGACAGACACGGGGGAAGAAAAAGCAGUAAUGGUACAAUUCUCCAGGGAAGAGAUGUUUACUGUUGCCAUGAUGGCACAAUUGUUGUAAAAGUGACCAAUUGAUUCCUGAGUGGGUCUGACUUAGGCUCAGUAGAAAGGCGUUUACAGAUGCAUUUUUUUUGCUACAGUUGUUGGUGAUGGUUUAGUGUGUUUAUUUGUAAUAUUACCAGGAUCUAGACUAUGCCCGGCAAUACCAGAUGCUUUAAGUAAAUAUAUCUUAUAUGACAAGCAAAUGAAGGAACGCCCAUCUAAAACCUAAUUGUCAAGCCAUCUUUGUCCAUUAAAAUCCAAUCCAUCCACCA